AUUGAACGCUGGCGGCAGGCCUAACACAUGCAAGUCGAGCGGAGCGGCGGACGGGUGAGUAAUGCCUAGGAAUCUGCCUGGUAGUGGGGGAUAACGUCCGGAAACGGGCGCUAAUACCACAUACUAUCAGAUGAGCCUAGGUCGGAUUAGCCAGUUGGUGGGGUAAAGGCCUACCAAGGCGACGAUCCGUAACUGGUCUGCGAGGAUGAUGAGUCACACGGGAAAUGAGACGCGGUCCAGACUCCUACGGGAGGCAGCGGUGGGGAAUAUUGGACAAUGGGCGAAAGCCUGAUCCAGCCAGGCCGCGUGUGUGAAGAAGGUGUUCGGAUUGUAAAGCACUUUAAGUUGGGAGGCGUUACCAACAGAAUAAGCACCGGCUAACUUCGUGCCAGCAGCCGCGGUAAUAC
rnacentral:rRNA from 1 species